UGGGAACGUGCCCUUUGGUUCGGAAUAACUCAGGGAAACUUGAGCUAAUACCGAAUAAGCCCUUACGGGGAAAGAUUUAUUGCCGAAGGAGCGGCCCGCGUCCGAUUAGCUAGUUGGUGAGGUAACGGCUCACCAAGGCUACGAUCGGUAGCUGGUCUGAGAGGAUGGCCAGCCACAUUGGGACUGAGACACGGCCCAGACUCCUACGGGAGGCAG
rnacentral:rRNA from 1 species